GAACGCUGGCGGCAUGCCUUACACAUGCAAGUCGAACGGCAGCACGGGAGCAAUCCUGGGUGGCGGAGUGGCGAACGGGUGAGUAAUAUAUCGGAACGUGCCCAGUCGUGGGGGAUAACGUAGCGAAAGCUACGCUAAUACCGCAUACGAUCUAUGGAUGAAAGCGGGGGAUCGCAAGACCUCGCGCGAUUGGAGCGGCCGAUAUCAGAUUAGGUAGUUGGUGAGGUAAAGGCUCACCAAGCCGACGAUCUGUAGCUGGUCUGAGAGGACGACCAGCCACACUGGGACUGAGACACGGCCCAGACUCCUACGGGAGGCAGCAGUGGGGAAUUUUGGACAAUGGGCGCAAGCCUGAUCCAGCAAUGCCGCGUGCAGGAUGAAGGCCUUCGGGUUGUAAACUGCUUUUGUACGGAACGAAACGGUGAGCUCUAAUACAGUUUGCUAAUGACGGUACCGUGAGAAUAAGCACCGGCUAACUACGUG
rnacentral:rRNA from 1 species